rnacentral:rRNA from 1 species
CGGCGAGUGAAGAGGGAAAAGCUCAAAGUUGGAACCUGGCUGCCCUAGGCAGUCCGGAUUGUAAACUAAAGAGCGUGAUUCCAGGCAAGCCGGUCGACCAAGACCUUUGGAAUGAGGCGCCACUGAGGGUGAGAGCCCCGUAAGCCGACUGAGCAUUUGUCUUUUGUGUUUCGCGUUCAAAGAGUCAGGUUGUUUGGGAAUGCAGCCUAAAGCUGGUGGUAAAUCCCACCUAAAGCUAAAUACAGGCGAGAGACCGAUAGCGAACAAGUACCGUGAGGGAAAGAUGAAAAGAACUUUGAAAAGAGAGUUAAACAGUAUGUGAAAUCGCCAAGAGGGAAGCAUUUGGAGUUAGAUUGACUAGGAGUUAAUCAGCUUGGUCUUUGGACUGGGUGUACUUGACUUCUUACAGUCUGCCAAUAGCAGUUAGUCCUAGUGGAAAAAACCAGAGGGAAGGUAGUCCUUCGGGAUGUUUAUAGACCUUUGGAAAAUACACUGGGAUUGACUGAGGAAUGCAGUAGAUGCCACUAAGGCUUCGUCUAGUGGGUGCUAGGCAAAGGUACUUGGUAUUUUCAGCUUGCUGAUGUGCUAGGUUACUCGAGUCUAGUCGCCUACUAGAA